rnacentral:rRNA from 1 species
GUGGGGAAUAUUGGGCAAUGGGCGCAAGCCUGACCCAGCAACGCCGCGUGAGGGAAGAAGGUUUUCGGAUUGUAGACCUCUGUCCUGGGGGACGAAAAAAAUGACUGUACCCCGGGAGGAAGCCCCGGCUAACUACGUGCCAGCAGCCGCGGUAAUACGUAGGGGGCGAGCGUUGUCCGGAAUUACUGGGCGUAAAGGGUGCGUAGGCGGCAUGUUAAGUUGGAUGUGAAAUACCCGGGCUCAACCUGGGGGGUGCAUCCAAAACUGGCAAGCUAGAGUGCAGGAGAGGAAAGCGGAAUUCCUAGUGUAGCGGUGAAAUGCGUAGAUAUUAGGAGGAACACCAGUGGCGAAGGCGGCUUUCUGGACUGCAACUGACGCUGAUGCACGAAAGCGUGGGGAGCAAACAGGAUUAGAAACCCCAGUAGUCC